UACGUAGGGUGCAAGCGUUAAUCGGAAUUAUUGGGCGUAAAGAGUGCGUAGGCGGAUAUAUAAGUUAGAUGUGAAAUUCCCGGGCUUAACCUGGGGACUGCAUUUAAGACUGUAUAUCUAGAGUUUAUUAGAGGGGGGUAGAAUUCCAAGUGUAGCAGUGAAAUGCGUAGAUAUUUGGAGGAAUACCAAUGGCGAAGGCAGCCCCCUGGGAUAAAACUGACGCUGAGGUACGAAAGCGUGGGGAGCAAACAGG
rnacentral:rRNA from 1 species